rnacentral:lncRNA from 1 species
GCAUGUGGUGAUACCAACCCAGCGUUUUGCCUGAUUUACUCCAAAUAUUGCUCCUUGUGGAAGGUGGCUCACAACAUGUGCAGGCGCACCUGCAACACCUGUCAACUUUAAGGUAUGUGAAGUUGAAAUAGAUUAUGUUUGUAUCACAGAGAUAUGAGAGAAUAGAGAGGGCAUUGCUCGAUAAAUUAAGGGGAAAAUGAAGCUUGCUAAUUUUUAUCUCGGAUGUAAACUCCCACACCAAUUGUCUACCUUAACCAUGGUUCUCGCUAAGAGGGAUCAAAUAUAUUCAUUUCCUAUGUACUGUCCUCACUAUACGACAGAACAGAAGCAUUGAAUACCAAAACGUUAUGUUCUAUUCAAUAUGCUUACGCUGUUGCUUAUGUUUGUGAUUAAUCUUGCGUUGUAUCGAGGACACAGUAAGAACAACACAAGCAUAUAACAUCAAAGCUUUCCGAUUGUUUAUCAUUGCGUUGUCGUGCGUAAGUUGUGAGCUUGAUUGACACAGUACAACUCGAGUUGUGUGCUUGAUUGACACAGUACAACUCGAGUUGUGUGCUUGAUUGACACACUACAACUCGAGUUGUGUGCUUGAUUGACACAGUACAACUCGAGUUGUGUGCUUGAUUGACACAGUACAACUCGAGUUGUGUGCUUGAUUGACACAGUACAACUCGAGUUGUGUGCUUGAUUGACACAGUACAACUCGAGUUGUGUGCUUGAUUGACACAGUACAACUCGAGUUGUGUGCUUGAUUGACACAGUACAACCCGAGUUGUGAGCUUGAUUGACACCGUACAACUCCAGUUGUGAGCAGGUUGCAUGUGACAGUUUUAGGCAAAAGUUGCGUGUUGUAAAUCGCUUUUAAAACUUUUAACUACAUUCUAGUGUAAAGGUCUUGUGGCGUGUUCUAAUCGCCAUGUUUUUCAUUCUUUCAGGUAUUCCACAGGCAGAAACACUUCAGAAUCCGCCAAAGCUGCAGGUUCAAAAUGAAAAUAAAAUGUAACUGAUAUUUAAGUUUGGUUCUUUAACAAUUUUGUGUGCAUUUUGAACGUUUUUGCCAUUCAUUCUCUUUUGAAUUAUUGAGUAUAGUUUAAGAAUUUCACGUGAAAUUAAAAUAAUAUUGCAUUAUAGGAUUCACAUCAUUGAGAAACUGUAGCGUACGUAGUGUUGCGUAAGUAAGAGACUAGUAAAAUACACUUUAAUGCUCCUCGAGCGUGCUUAUUUUUCUCUUAAAUUGUAGAAAUUUUGUAAUCAUGUUUGAUAAAAUUAAAGACUGUUACGUGGAGC